AUUGAACGCUGGCGGCAGGCCUAACACAUGCAAGUCGAGCGAGCGGCGGACGGGUGAGUAAUGUAUGGGGUCUGCCCGAUAGAGGGGGAUAACUACUGGAAACGGUGGCUAAUACCGCAUACUAUCGGAUAACCCAUAUGGGAUUAGCUAGUAGGUAAGGUAAUGGCUUACCUAGGCGACGAUCCCUAGCUGGUCUGAGAGGAUGAUCAGCCACACUGGUACUGAACCACGGCCCAGACUCCUACGGAGGCAGCAGUGGGGAAUAUUGCACGAUGGGCGCAAGCCUGAUGCAGCCAUGCCGCGUGUAUGAAGAAGGCCCUAGGGUUGUAAAGUACUUUCAGUCGGUAGGCGUUACCGACAGAAGAAGCACCGGCUAACUCCGUGCCAGCAGCCGCGGUAAUUC
rnacentral:rRNA from 1 species